CUUCGUCUGAAUCCAGAUACUUCAUGUAACAGUUUACUUUAGUAAUUACGUCAAACGAGCAAUAGUUUUGUGUAUAUUUUUGAAUGAAGAUGUUGCUGGGUAACUCAAAGCUGUUUUCUAGUAUUCAUUUGAGAUUUAAAAGAUCGCUGUCAAAAUCUACUUCGUUCUUACAGCAGCACAAAUAGAUCAAUGAAGUUAAACUACUUCCCGCAUUGACAAAAGCUGUUGGGGUAAUAUUAGAGAGCUGAGUCAACUUGGGAUGUCCAAUGUGCCUUCGCUGCAUUUCUUUAAUUCUGGUCUUAAUUCCUUUCACUAAGUCAAACACAUCAUCUGACAUAUUCAAAUCUGUUUGGAGGCCAAGUCCUAAAACGUCUUGUAUCUAAGAUUGGAUUGAUUCACCCGAUAUUUGGACAUGGUACGUUUCUGUUUCCAGUGAUGUCUUUGUUUUGUCUCUGUCAGUUAGAAGGCAGGUUAUAGCAAACUAUUGAUAUGUUCGAAUGGAAUGUUUUGCUUAUAUUUUACCCUUUAGAAGACAUGGAAAGUAAUAUUUGGAUUUUUGCGCUAUUGGAAGUUCAUGGGCAGUUUAUACCAUUUCAACUGAUAUUUAAAGUGCUUAAAAAGUGAUAUUUCUUUAUUAUUCAGAAAGUGCUUAGUUUCCUAGGAGGAAUAUAAGUACAUCAUUGAUCAUAUUAUAUACGCAAAAGUGCUUUUCUCGAAAAACUUUAUUUGAAAUAUUUUUUUUAUCGAUU